CAGAGAAUAAUCAACUUCAUCAUGUAGAUUUCGAAAACACCAAUCCAGCCAAUAAGGUUUUGAUUUAUGAAGAACAUGACGACUACCAGCAAGCACAAUGCUUUCCAUCAGUACAUUAUCACUCCCUGAAUACACUUCACAUUCUGCAGAUUUUGAAUUAAUAUAAUACAAACGGUUGCUUUCAUAUCCCCACUCACCAGGGUUCGCCAGUGCAUAGCAUUUGAAAGGAGAAUAAAAUAAUGCAAGUUCACCCAAACUUUCCAACUUGACAUAACUCAUAGUAGCGAAGUCUAUCCUGUAGACAUCCAAUACUCUCUUCGGUACAAAGCGGACCACAAGAAGCUUCCCAUCACAAUGAAGUAACUUAAACAAACGAGGAGUUACAUCGGGGGUAUUUUUCAGUUCUAGCAAUUUCAAACUUGUAGAGUUUAGGCUAAGUACACCUAUCUCAACCUUGUCGGUGAGAGCAUAAAUAAUAUUAUCCAAAACUACAAAGUCCACAACCU
rnacentral:lncRNA from 1 species